rnacentral:SRP_RNA from 1 species
GCCGGGCGUGGUGGCGCACGUCUGUAAUUCCAGCUACCUGGGAGGCUGAGGCAGGAGAAUUGCUUGAACCUGGGAGGCAGAGAUUGCAGUGAGCUGAGAUUGCAGUGAGCCGAGAUUGCACCACUGCACUCUAGCCUGGGUGACAAAGUGAGACUCUGUCUCAA